AAGUCACCAAGUUAUGGUUAAGUAACCUGAAAGUCUGAAACCAAACCCCUCCGUCACAGACUCGAUCAUAGUCUAUCCUUAUUUUGUUAUGUCUUCCCAUGACUCAAGUAAAAUCAAAGUGGCUGCCAACCCUUCGCUUCAACUUGGAUUUCAAGGCAGCACAGAGCCAUACACUUCCGCGUUGGAGUCGCCGGCUACGCUUUUAAUCAAACACCUUCCAGACGCCAUUCCUCAGAACACCCUUUCUCGCCUUUUGUUCUGGUGGAAGGUUGAGAAAUUGUGCUUUUCUGUGUUUCAAAAAUGAUAUGCUGGCAACUCAAGCACAGCACCAGCUAAAUUGGUAUUCAUUUUUAAUAAUCCAAUAGAUGCAAUUGCCUAUAGAAAGAAUAGGAUUAGAAAUGAAAAUAUUAGAGAGUGUUGAAGUAGCACCUAUAGUAGAGAAGAUGUUGGAAAAUAGACUUAGAUGGUUUGAGCAUGUAGAGAGAAGAUCGGUAGAUUGUGUAAUAAGUAGGGGUGUGCAUGGAUCAAUAACCAAACCAAAUUGAACCAUAUAUAUGGUUUGGUUUGAAUCUUAAAACCAUUUCUUUAAAACUGGUUAAUUUUUUUAAAAUCGGUUUAUAUGUGGAUCGGUUCAGCUGUAAACCGAUUUCUCAUAAAAACCAAUGUUUGUAAAAAAUAGGGUUAAAAACCAGUUUCUCUCAAAAUCAAUUUUUUAUUUUCUUAAAAAAAAAAAGGUUUAAAACCGGUAUCUCUCAAAACCAGUUUUUUAUUUUCAAAUGUAGAUAUGAUAACAGAACGAGAAACCAAUUUUUAAUCACAUUUAGUUUAGCAGGGGAAACUGAAAAUGAAUCCGAUCAAUUAACUAUACUUCCCAAAUGGUUAAAAUUUAAUGAGUUGAAACAAAUAAAAUUAGCAUAAACUAUGAAGCACAACCGUAUCUAUCAUCUGGGACAAUGCGGAAAACACCAAUAUCAAUGAAUUGCAGCUUGUGAUUGUUACAAUACUCCUAUUAGUCCACUUGUUCAACAAAUAGGUGAAAAAAUUAUUUUUCAUUGCUGAAUAAAAUAACCAAACUCUUGUUUGUUUCCCUAAAUAUUAGAAACCCUAAGCUUAAAAAUUCAUUUACUCAAGUUCAAAGAGAGAAACCUGAUAUGAAAAGGUGGUUCGAGAGAUAUAUUAUAUAUAAGUAUGCACAUACACAGUGCUUGAUUAAAGAGAAAUGGAGAUAGAGAAGGGAAUUAAGGGCAGUAUAGAAAUGGUGGAGCAAGCAGAUAAAAUAAUUUGGAUACUAAUUUGGUUAAGGAUAACCAGUUUUUUUGCACACCCCUAGUAAUAAGGAGAGUAGAUCAAAUGAAGAGAAGUCAAACAACUAGAUGAAGAGAAGGGUUUAGGGUUUAGAGGAAGACCUAGAAAAACUAUAAGAGAAAUUAUUAAGAAAGAUCUCGAGAUUAACAAUUUGGAUAGAAGCAUGGUUCUGGAUAGAACAUUAUGGCGAAAGUUGAUACAUGUAGUCGACCCCACUUAGUAAGAUAAGACUUGGUUGUUGUUUUGUUGUAUCAUAGACUGCAUGUAAUUGAUGCUUGACUUGAGUCAGCCUUCUUAGCUUAGUUGUUAAGCUUUUAGUUUAGCUGACAAAUACAACUCAGGCUCCGUCAACUGUCACUCCCCAUUAGUUUUGAGUGUUGAGUAUUCUUACUAGAAUUAUUUUAGCAACACACUUUUUCAACACUUUCUGAGUCGAUGAAUUUUAGAGUCCCCCAAAAAUCUGUGCUCACCUCUCUUUUUAGUGGGUUUCUCCUAAAAUUGUGAAAGUAUUGCAAGCAUUUAUCGUGUUUACUAAUACCCAUGUAUCCUGUUAUAAAUCAGGGAAACUAUUACAUAUGACUGAUUAGUUUUAGAAAAUGAUUUUUAAGUGUAGAAUCAUUUUGUUCGAUUUUCCAUAGGCCUGAUAGUGAUUGUUUUUCAAGUAUGCUUAUCCUCCACCAGAUGGAAAUAUACUGACCAACAUCGUGAAUGCUCUUAUUGUUAUUCCAUGCUCUUACACUCAGGUUGGUCUAGUAUCAAAUGAAGCUUCAAGGAUUUAUGGUUUCUUUUACCAUCACAUGUAUCAUUUUCUGUGUGCUCAUUUUAUACUUAGCCUGUCAUACUGACUGUACCUCUUUAAUAUAGGCUCUACACUUGAUGAACAAAAUGAACAUUCCUCAAUCCACACCACCAUUACCUCCAGGGGUGCCAGCACCACUUGUGCCUCCUCCUCAUUCUUUAACUGUGAAGCUUCAGUCUGCAGAUAUGUCUAGUGAUGAAUCAAAAAUGGAAUCUUCAGAUGAGGUAACAUUUCCAGUUUCCACUUCUUGUUAGGGAUCAAACUUAGCCUCUUUAUUGUAUGACAGCCUAAUCUUUCUGAAAUGGUAUGCAACACUAUGUUUUGUUUUUCAUCCAUCAAUAUAUUUAAUGACAUUCUUUACACACUAUGCUUAGGCCGCACCUUCCUGUUGUGGUUCAGUAUGAGAAAAUUCUCAUUGAAACAUAUUCAUUUUGGCAAUGAAUAUUAAACUAUAAUUAUAUGGUACCAAUAGGAGAAUAUGUUUUCCAGCUUUUAGUGAAAUUUGAAUAUCAAUGGAAAAUAAUAAAAGAUUUUGAGGAGGAUGGCUCCAUUUUGACGAAAAUGUGCCAGGCGUGGGGCCAUUGUUGGCGUGCUGUGUGAGAAAAUUUUCAUUGAAACAAAAUUAUUUUGUCAAUGAAUAUCAAACUAUAAUUAUAUGGUGCCAAAUGCCAAUAGGAAAUGCUUUUUC